rnacentral:rRNA from 1 species
AUUGAACGCUGGCGGCAGGCUUAACACAUGCAAGUCGAGCGAGCGGCGGACGGGUGAGUAAUGUCUGGGAAACUGCCUGAUGGAGGGGGAUAACUACUGGAAACGGUAGCUAAUACCGCCUACCAUCGGAUGUGCCCAGAUGGGAUUAGCUAGUAGGUGGGGUAAGGGCUCACCUAGGCGACGACCCCUAGCUGGUCUGAGAGGAUGACCGGCAAAACUGGACCUGAGACACGGUCCAGACUCCGACGGGAGGCAGAAGUGGGGAAUAUUGCAAAAUGGGCGCAAGCCUGAUGCAGCAAGGCCGCGUGUGUGAAGAAGGCCUUCGGGUUGUAAAGUACUUUCAGCGAGGAGGCGUUACUCGCAGAAGAAGCACCGGCUAACUCCGUGCCAGCAGCCGCGGUAAUAC